rnacentral:rRNA from 1 species
AUUGAACGCUGGCGGCAGGCCUAACACAUGCAAGUCGAGCGGGGUGAUGGUGCUUGCACUAUCACUUAGCGGCGGACGGGUGAGUAAUGCUUAGGAAUCUGCCUAUUAGUGGGGGACAACAUCUCGAAAGGGAUGCUAAUACCGCAUACGUCCUACGGGAGAAAGCAGGGGAUCACUUGUCACCUUGCGCUAAUAGAUGAGCCUAAGUCGGAUUAGCUAGUUGGUGGGGGAAAGGCCUACCAAGGCGACGAUCUGUAGCGGGUCUGGGAGGAUGAUCCGCCACACUGGGACUGAGACACGGCCCAGACUCCUACGGGAGGCAGCAGUGGGGAAUAUUGGACAAUGGGGGGAACCCUGAUCCAGCCAUGCCGCGUGUGUGAAGAAGGCCUUAUGGUUGUAAAGCACUUUAAGCGAGGAGGAGGCUCUUUUGGUUAAUACCCAAGAUGAGUGGACGUUACUCGCAGAAUAAGCACCGGCUAACUCUGUGCCAGCCGCCGCCGUAA